rnacentral:rRNA from 1 species
GACGAACGCUGGCGGCGUGCCUAAUACAUGCAAGUCGAACGCAGUGGGGACGGGUGAGUAACACGUGGGUAACCUCCCCUCAGAGGGGAUAACACUUGGAAACAGGUGCUAAACCGAUACUUGUGGAUGGACCCGCGGUGCAUUAGCUAGUGGGUGGGGUAACGGCUCACCAAGGCCACGAGGCAUAGCCGAUCUGAGAGGGUGAGAGGCAACACUGGGACGGAGACACGGCCCAGACUCCUAGGGGAGGCAGCAGUAGGGAAUCUUCGGCAAGGGACGAAACUCUGACCGAGCAACGCCGCGUGAGUGAAGAAGGUUUUCGGAUCGUAAAACUCUGUUGUUAGAGAAGCGGUAUCUAACCAGAAAGCCACGGCUAACUACGUGCCAGCAGCCGCGGUAAUUC